AUGGGUUGACCUGUGAAAAUAUAAUGUCCUGUUUUCAUUUGUCAGUUACCAGUUAGGCUUUAGAAACAUAAUAAAGUUAAAGUGUAUUUAAAAAUAUAGUUUGGAGAAAUGUGUGAAAGUGGUCAUGAAUUUCAAGGGUUGAAUGAUUAUAGUUAACUGUUUAAAAAUAUGUAGUUGUAGCCUACUAAUGCUUUUAUAAAAUGCUCAAAAUAUAUUUUAGAUUACAUCCUGUGAUAUCCAAGCCUUGUUUGUUUCUGUGUUUUCAAAGCUCCACACCAGUAGGUGGUGAUAAAGAAAACAGUGUAGGUACGCGUUAACACGUGAUAACGUGUUAACACGCACUUACGCGUUAACACGUAGUGCAUGUUAACACGUGAUUUUAACAUGUUUUGCCCUGUUGGCCUUCCAUACUAAUAGGGACUACAUCCUUGGCGGGGAGUUUAGACGUCAUCAUGACAGGAAAUCUGUCACUAGCCUUUCAGCCUCACAUUCACGUUCUCAGAAGUUUACCUUUCAAUUAAUAUACAUAACGUUAUAUAUGUAGUCUUUUCAAAUUGUAGUUUUUCCAAAUAUUGUUGUACUGUGGAGAGCGUGUAGUUUGACAUGUUUUGUUUUGUCCGGAGAUGCAACCACAAGUCGUCGAUGAAAGAUGCUCGUUUACCGUCCGAUGUUCCCCAGCGGAGACUGUUCGCGCCGUAAGACGAGCUGACCGGAUGUCCAGUGUCCAUUCUCGCAUCUGCAGCUGUCAUUUUCCUGCAGGGGAUAAAAUGUCCCCGUUUUGUUUAUAUCCACAAAUGAUGUUCCCACUGGACAAAUUUUGGAAGAUCAUUCAUACUCCCUGAGACAGGAUAGGGCUGAUGUGCCUAAAAAUGUUCCACCACCCAUUUAUAAAAAGGAAGAAAAUGGCUACAAUUUAUGGCUGACAAAGAUGAUGAACCAUCUCCGGCUGAUCAAACCCUCUCUAUCAAUUCUGAGGAACAACCAAAUAAAAGCACAACUGAAGAAGAGCUGCAGUCUGGACGAAGAAGAACCCAGCAAGCAAUAGCCGUCAUUUCAACGUCGUGUUUCAGUAUAGACCCGAUAUAGCCGCGCUGUGCCUAGCCCAUAUCUAGCCCAAAUAAACUUUAAUUUGGUUACAUGUGGUUUUUGACAAAAUAAUUUGUGAGAUGUAUGCUAUUUCAUCAUGUAAGCAAAGUUAACAGCGAUUACAAGGUAUAUCGUUUCAUUUCUUUAAAGUGUUUUAUGCAUCGUCUGUAUAGUAACAAUUUAGCUCAUAAAUAGACCGACUACGAAUAAACCACGUUUAGCCCACAAAUAACCAUGAAUUUAAUUACAUGUUGUUUUUCCAAAAUUAUUUGUGAGAUGUAUGAUAUUAAUCAUGUAAACAAAAUUCAAAGCGAUUACGGUAUUUUGUUUCAUUUUUUUUUUAAAGUGUUUUAUGCACCGUCUGUACUUAGCCACUAUUUAGCUUACAAAUAGACCGACUACGCAUAACCCACGUUUAGCCCAGAAAUAACCAUUAAUUUAAUUAUGUGGUUUUUGCCAAAUAACUUGUGAGAUGUAUGGUAUUUCAUUGUGUAAGCAAAGUUAACAGCGAUUACAAGGUUUGUUUAAUUUCUUUAAAGUGUUUUAUGCACCGUCGUACAUAGCCACUAUUUAGCUCAUAAAUAGACCGACUACGAACAAACCAUGUUUAGCUCAGAAUAACCUUGAAUUUAAUAAAAUUUUGUUUUUGCCAAAAUAAUUUGCAAGAUGUAUGAUAUUUCAUCAGGCAUGCAAAGACGCCAGUGAAUUCAAUAUGUUUGGUUUUAUUUAUCUUAUCUGAAUAUCUGCUGUCACGCAUAACAUUCAUUAUUUGACCGUAUUUCAAAGAUAAACAAAAUCCAGUUACAACUCCGAACCGCUAGAUGGCAGCUGCAGUACACAAACACGAGGCCAAAUCUCGCGAGAAAGACUUCCGCUGUUUGAAAAUCAACAACAUCAGCGAGAAGCCAGGAGGAAUGCAAUCUGCCACACUCGUUUGAUCUUUGUCAAAGCUGUGCGAAACUGGAGGGAGAAACUUGAGAGACCGUGCCGGAAGAAUGCUGGACAGAGUUCACUAAAAUUCAUUAAUUUCAAAGUUCAACAUGAAUGGUGGUGGUCCACUGCAGAAGCAAGCAUUUGAAAAAAAACAUCAGUUCUCAGUUAUUAAAGAUGCUGUGUUGAACAACUUCCCAGCAGCAACAGAACUGGAAGUGAAGGAUGCAAUGGGGGGAUUUCAAACAGGCACCAGGGAGGACGUGGUGUAUAGAAAUUAGUCCAAUUAAUAAGUUGAAGUGAACUGAAGAUAGUUUGUUAAUGUUUAGAUGUUAUUUCAUUUUUAAAAUUGUAUUUUGUUAUUUAUGCUUUUAUUUUGUUACUGUUUUUAUUCUUUUUGUUAAAAGUAGUUUUUCUUCAUUUUGUCUUAUCUGAAUUUCUAUUGUAUUAACAAUAUUUUUUUGUAAUAAAUUGCAUGAUUACAUGUUUAUGAGAACCUUUUUUAAUGGAUUAAAAAGAUUUCUUUAGCCA